UUGGAGGGCAAGUCUGGUGCCAGCAGCCGCGGUAAUUCCAGCUCCAAUAGCGUAUAUUAAAGUUGUUGCAGUUAAAAAGCUCGUAGUUGGAUUUCGGGAUCAAUAUAUCGGUCGUGCCUUGGUACGUACUGGCAUCAUUGGUUUCUCCUUUCUGACGAACCAUGAUGUCAUUAAUUUGGUGUUAUGGGAAGUUAGGACUGUUACUUUGAAAAAAUUAGAGUGUUUAAAGCAGGCUUUAGCUUGAAUACAUUAGCAUGGAAUAAUGAAAUAGGACGUUCGAACCUAUUUUGUUGGUUUCUAGGAUCAACGUAAUGAUUAAUAGGGAUAGUUGGGGGCAUUAGUAUUCAAUUGUCAGAGGUGGAAUUCUUGGAUUUAUUGAAGACUAACUACUGCGAAAGCAUUUGCCAAGGAUGUUUUCAUUAAUCAAGAACGAAAGUUAGGGGAUCGAAGACGAUCAGAUACCGUCGUAGUCUUAACCAUAAACUAUGCCGACUAGGGAUCGGAUGAUGUUAAUUUUUUAAUGACUCAUUCGGCGCCUUACGGGAAACCAAAGUGUUUGGGUUC
rnacentral:rRNA from 1 species